rnacentral:rRNA from 1 species
UGGUUCAGGAUGAACGCUAGCGAUAGGCUUAACACAUGCAAGUCGAGGGGCAUCACGAGGUAGCAAUACUUUGGUGGCGACCGGCGUACGGGUGCGUAACACGUAUGCAACCUUCCUGUAAGUGUGGGAUAGCCUCCUGAAAGGGAGAUUAAUACCUCAUGAUAUGUAUUUGCUGCAUGGCAUUUACAUUAAACAUUUAUGGCUUACAGAUGGGCAUGCGUUCCAUUAGGCAGUUGGUGUGGUAACGGCUCACCAAACCUACGAUGGAUAGGGGUUCUGAGAGGAAGGUCCCCCACACUGGAACUGAGACACGGUCCAGACUCCUACGGGAGGCAGCAGUGAGGAAUAUUGGUCAAUGGG